UGGAAUGUUCUGGGUGAGGGCCUGCAGCUCGUCUGCAAGGGCUCCGGCUUCGCCUUCGGCAGCGUCGGCAUGGGAUGGAUGCGGCAGGCGCCCGGGAAGGGGCUCGAGUUCGUCGCGAGUAUUUGGAAUGAUGGUGGCUACACCAAGUACGCGCCGUCGGUCAAGGGGCGCUUCACCAUCUCCAGGGACAACGGCCAGAGCACGGUCACGCUGCAGAUGAGCAGCCUCAGGGACGACGACACGGCCACCUACUACUGCGCCAAAAAUGCUGAUGCUGAUGGUGGUUGGGGCACGUUGGCCGCAAAUAAACGAGUUUUGGGGCAAAAACCCGGACCCUUGGGCGAAGCCUGGAGGUGUGGGACACAACCAGUUGGGACCUGGGGCCGAGGUGGAGGCUGGGCGCAACGAGUCACCGUCUGGGGCCAGAGCGAGUGAGGUUUGGGGCAGGAAUGGGUGAGGCUGGAUGGGGACGUGUGAGACGUGGUGCGCGUGGUCACGUUUGGGGUGAACUGCUGAGGUUUGGGGCUGGUGGUCAAUGGUUGGUGGAAAUGGUCAAGGCUUGGUGGAGAAGGUGAAGCUUUGGGUCAAAAUCAGAUGAGCUUGGGUGGAAAUGGUCAAGUUUCACGGCAAAUGGUUGAGUUUUGGGACCAACGGUCAAUGUUUGGUGGACGUGGUCAGGGU